GAGAGAGAGAGUGUGUGUGUGUGUGUGUGUGUGAGAGUGUGUGUGUGUGAGAGAGAGUGUAGUGUGUGUGUGUGUGUGUGUGUGUGUGAGAGAGAGAGAGAGAGAGUUAAACAGGGAACGCUGGCGCUCUUUCCCUACAUGUUGCACUUUUUCUGAAAGCAGCCAAUGAGAGCAGGUCUGGUCACAGACUCCGCCCACACACAUUGUUGUCAUUGAGUUUUAAUAGAUUUGAAAGAAAAACUAGCAAUAAGAGACAGAGGAUCUGAUCAAUCCCUGAGCAUCGACCGCAGAAUGAUUCUCAUAUUUAUUAUAAAUGUAAAGAUUAGCGGAACAUAUAAAAGUGUUUGGUUUAAUAAAGAUCUGUUGACUGAUGAGAUGUUUA